AACGUAGGGUGCAAGCGUUGUCCGGAAUUACUGGGUGUAAAGGGAGCGCAGGCGGACCGGCAAGUUGGAAGUGAAAACUAUGGGCUCAACCCAUAAAUUGCUUUCAAAACUGCUGGCCUUGAGUAGUGCAGAGGUAGGUGGAAUUCCCGGUGUAGCGGUGGAAUGCGUAGAUAUCGGGAGGAACACCAGUGGCGAAGGCGACCUACUGGGCACCAACUGACGCUGAGGCUCGAAAGCAUGGGUAGCAAACAGGAUUAGAUACCCUGGUAGUCCAUGCCGUAAACGAUGAUUACUAGGUGUUGGAGUAUUGACCCCUUCAGUGCCGCAGUUAACACAAUAAGUAAUCCACCUGGGGAGUACGACCGCAAGGUUGAA
rnacentral:rRNA from 1 species